rnacentral:rRNA from 1 species
GAUGAACGCUAGCGGCAGGCUUAACACAUGCAAGUCGAGGGGUAUAGUUCUUCGGAGCUAGAGACCGGCGCACGGGUGCGUAACGCGUAUGCAAUCUACCUUUUGCAGAGGGAUAGCCCAGAGAAAUUUGGAUUAAUACCUCAUGGUAUGUGAGAAUGGCAUCAUUUUCACAUUAAAGUCACAACGGCAAAAGAUGAGCAUGCGUCCCAUUAGCUAGUUGGUAAGGUAACGGCUUACCAAGGCAACGAUGGGUAGGGGUCCUGAGAGGGAGAUCCCCCACACUGGUACUGAGACACGGACCAGACUCCUACGGGAGGCAGCAGUGAGGAAUAUUGGACAGUGGGCGCAAGCCUGAUCCAGCCAUGCCGCGUGCAGGAUGACGGUCCUAUGGAUUGUAAACUGCUUUUGUACAGGAAGAAACACUGGUUCGUGAACCAGCUUGACGGUACUGUAAGAAUAAGGAUCGGCUAACUCCGUGCCAGCAGCCGCGGUAAGAC